GUGCUUGGCCUGACCCCUGAGGGGAGAGGGAAUUGAGAGUAGAGGCAUCCAGUCAUCCACCCAUCCAGCAAUCUCCUCCCUCCCUCCAUCACACAUAACACCCCUGUCCCUCCCUCCUGCACCAAUGAGACAUCUAUCUGUGUCCUGGUGGACUGUGGAGGCCUCAGCCACUUUGAUUAGCAUGUCAGCCACUUUGAUUAGCUAGCCCAUCUUUAUUGGGCGGCUUAAAUGUCAUACUCAGUGUGUGCCCAGAGUCUAAUGCCCUUAUUGGCAGAUGGGGGAUCGAGUCCCUGCUAAUUACUGAUAGGGUCAAUGUGCGUUCCCAUCUGGGGACAAAGCCAGAGCAGCCCAGAAUUCACUUUAUGAAAGCAAUUUGUGCUUCAACAAAACAAGGGGGGACCAAUCAUAACAAUAACUGUGGUUCCUUUUGAGAAAGCCCUUGGCUUGAAAAUAUCAGAAGAUUUAAGCUGACUCAUCUAUGGAAGACGGGCAUGCAUCCCCAGGAGCGAGGAGAGAGGCCAGAGAGCCAUGAGUUUCUUCCUGACUGUGUCCUUCGAGUCAAACCUGAAGGUGGCGAAGCAGACGUCUGAAAACAACAAGAUCUUUGGCUUGAACCUCUUGGUGGCUUUCAUCAGCCAGUUCUUCAAAGAGGCCAUGGAUGAAGGUCAUGCCGUACGUCGACGUGUAGUUUGGCAAUGAGACGGAACAGACACAUUGGUCAAAGAGCAAAGUUUCCAGUAGGUGAGUUACUAACCAGAUCCUAAAGGUUUAUUUUAGCUGAUAAUUUAGUU
rnacentral:lncRNA from 13 species